rnacentral:rRNA from 1 species
UGGGGAAUUUUGGACAAUGGGCGAAAGCUUGAUCCAGCAAUGCCGCGUGUGUGAAGAAGGCCUUCGGGUUGUAAAGCACUUUUGUCCGGAAAGAAAUCCUUGGCUCUAAUACAGUCGGGGGAUGACGGUACCGGAAGAAUAAGCACCGGCUAACUACGUGCCAGCAGCCGCGGUAAUACGUAGGGUGCAAGCGUUAAUCGGAAUUACUGGGCGUAAAGCGUGCGCAGGCGGUUUGCUAAGACCGAUGUGAAAUCCCCGGGCUCAACCUGGGAACUGCAUUGGUGACUGGCAGGCUAGAGUAUGGCAGAGGGGGGUAGAAUUCCACGUGUAGCAGUGAAAUGCGUAGAGAUGUGGAGGAAUACCGAUGGCGAAGGCAGCCCCCUGGGCCAAUACUGACGCUCAUGCACGAAAGCGUGGGGAGCAAACAGGAUUAGAUACCCUGGUAGUCCACGCCCUAAACGAUGUCAACUAGUUGUUGGGGAUUCAUUUCCUUAGUAACGUAGCUAACGCGUGAAGUUGACCGCCUGGGGAGUACGGUCGCAAGAUUAAAACUUAAAUGAAUUGACGGGGU